GACGAACGCUGGCGGCGUGCUUAACACAUGCAAGUCGAGCGGUAAGGCCUUUCGGGGGUACGACGAGCGGCGAACGGGUGAGUAACACGUGGGUGACCUGCCCUCAGCUCUGGGAUAAGCCUGGGAAACCGGGUCUAAUACCGGAUAUGACUCCAUGACGCAUGUUGUGGGGUGGAAAGCCUUGUGCGGCUGAGGAUGGGCCCGCGGCCUAUCAGCUUGUUGGUGGGGUGAUGGCCUACCAAGGCGACGACGGGUAGCCGGCCUGAGAGGGCGACCGGCCACACUGGGACUGAGACACGGCCCAGACUCCUACGGGAGGCAGCAGUGGGGAAUCUUGCGCAAUGGGCGAAAGCCUGACGCAGCGACGCCGCGUGA
rnacentral:rRNA from 1 species